UACGUAGGGACCAAGCGUUGUUCGGAUUUGCUGGGCGUAAAGGGCGCGUAGGCGGCGCGGUAAGUCACUUGUGAAAUCUCUGAGCUUAACUCAGAACGGCCAAGUGAUACUGCAGUGCUAGAGUGUGGAAGGGGCAAUCGGAAUUCUUGGUGUAGCGGUGAAAUGCGUAGAUAUCAAGAGGAACACCUGAGGUGAAGACGGGUUGCUGGGCCAACACUGACGCUGAGGCGCGAAAGCCAGGGGAGCAAACGGG
rnacentral:rRNA from 1 species